GACGAACGCUGGCGGCGUGCUUAACACAUGCAAGUCGAGCGGCAAGGCCCUUUCGGGGGUACACGAGCGGCGAACGGGUGAGUAACACGUGGGUGACCUGCCCUUAGCUCUGGGAUAAGCCUGGGAAACUGGGUCUAAUACCGGAUAUGACUCCAUAACGCAUGUUGUGGGGUGGAAAGCCUUGUGCGGCUAGGGAUGGGCCCGCGGCCUAUCAGCUUGUUGGUGGGGUGAUGGCCUACCAAGGCGACGACGGGUAGCCGGCCUGAGAGGGCGACCGGCCACACUGGGACUGAGACACGGCCCAGACUCCUACGGGAGGCAGCAGUGGGGAAUCUUGCGCAAUGGGCGAAAGCCUGACGCAGCGACGCCGCGUGGGGA
rnacentral:rRNA from 1 species